CCUACGGGGGGCUGCAGUAGGGAAUAUUGCUCAAUGGGGGAAACCCUGAAGCAGCAACGCCGCGUGGAGGAUGAAGGUUUUAGGAGUGUAAACUCCUUGUGUGAGAGAAGAGGAUGACGGUAUCUAACGAAUAAGCACCGGCUAACUCCGUGCCAGCAGCCGCGGUAAUACGGAGGGUGCAAGCGUUACUCGGAAUCACUGGGCGUAAAGAGUGCGUAGGCGGGGUAAUAAGUCAGAUGUGAAAUCCUGUAGCUUAACUACAGAACUGCAUUUGAAACUGUUACUCUGGAGUGUGGGAGAGGUAUGUGGAAUUCUUUGUGUAGGGGUCACAUCCGUAGAGAUC
rnacentral:rRNA from 1 species